AGAGUUUGAUCCUGGCUCAGGAUGAACGCUAGCGGGAGGCUUAACACAUGCAAGUCGAGGGGCAGCACGGUGUAGCAAUACACUGGUGGCGACCGGCGCACGGGUGAGUAACGCGUAUGUAACCUACCUUGUACAGGGGGAUAGCCCGGAGAAAUUCGGAUUAAUACCCCAUAACGAUAUCAGAUCGCAUGAUUUUUCAGAUAAAACUCCGGUGGUUACAGAUGGGCAUGCGUGACAUUAGCUAGUUGGUAAGGUAACGGCUUACCAAGGCUACGAUGUCUAGGGGUUCUGAGAGGAUGAUCCCCCACACUGGUACUGAGACACGGACCAGACUCCUACGGGAGGCAGCAGUGAGGAAUAUUGGUCAAUGGGCGCAAGCCUGAACCAGCCAUCCCGCGUGCAGGAUGACGGCCCUAUGGGUUGUAAACUGCUUUUAUACACCAAGAAAAAUCCCCACGUGUGGGGACCCGACGGUAGUGUAUGAAUAAGCAUCGGCUAACUCCGUGCCAGCAGCCGCGGUAAUACGGAGGAUGCAAGCGUUAUCCGGAUUCAUUGGGUUUAAAGGGUGCGUAGGCGGCUUUUUAAGUCAGUGGUGAAAUCCUGCCGCUUAACGGUAGAAUUGCCAUUGAUACUGAAAAGCUUGAGUACAUUUGAGGUAAGCGGAAUGUGUAGUGUAGCGGUGAAUGCUUAGAUAUUACACAGAACACCAAUUGCGAAGGCAGCUUACUAAACUGAUACUGACGCUGAUGCACGAAAGCGUGGGGAGCGAACAGGAUUAGAUACCCUGGUAGUCCACGCCGUAAACGAUGCUCACUCGCUGUUUGCGAUACACAGCAAGCGGCCAAGCGAAAGCAUUAAGUGAGCCACCUGGGGAGUACGAUCGCAAGGUUGAAACUCAAAGGAAUUGACGGGGGCCCGCACAAGCGGAGGAACAUGUGGUUUAAUUCGAUGAUACGCGAGGAACCUUACCUGGGCUUAAAUGUAGAGCGACAGAUUGUGAAAGCAGUCCUUCUUCGGGGACGAUCUACAAGGUGCUGCAUGGUUGUCGUCAGCUCGUGCCGUGAGGUGUCGGGUUAAGUCCCAUAACGAGCGCAACCCUUAUCGUUAGUUGCCAGCGGAUCAUGCCGGGGACUCUAGCGAGACUGCCGGUGCAAGGUGUGAGGAAGGUGGGGAUGACGUCAAAUCAGCACGGCCCUUAUGUCCAGGGCUACACACGUGUUACAAUGGCCGAUACAAAGGGCAGCUACCUGGUGACAGGAUGCUAAUCUCCAAAACCGGUCUCAGUUCGGAUCGAAGUCUGCAACUCGACUUCGUGAAGUUGGAUUCGCUAGUAAUCGUACAUCAGCAAUGGUACGGUGAAUACGUUCCCGGGCCUUGUACACACCGCCCGUCAAGCCAUGGGAGCUGGGGGGACCUGAAGUCCGUGACCGAAAGGAGCGGCCUAGGGUAAAACCAGUGACUGGGGCUAAGUCGUAACAAGGUAAC
rnacentral:rRNA from 1 species